UACAGAGGUCUCAAGCGUUGUUCGGAUUCAUUGGGCGUAAAGGGUGCGUAGGUGGCGCUGUAAGUCGGGUGUGAAAUUUCGGAGCUUAACUCCGAAACUGCAUUCGAUACUGCGGUGCUUGAGGACUGGAGAGGAGACUGGAAUUCCUGGUGUAGCGGUGAAAUGCGCAGAUAUCAGGAAGAACACCCGUGGCGAAGGCGGUUCUCUGGGACGGUACUGACGCUGAGACGCGAAAGCGUGGGGAGCGAACAGG
rnacentral:rRNA from 1 species